UGGCACCUCGAUGUCGGCUCAUCACAUCCUGGGGCUGUAGUAGGUCCCAAGGGUUGGGCUGUUCGCCCAUUAAAGUGGUACGCGAGCUGGGUUCAGAACGUCGUGAGACAGUUCGGUCCCUAUCCGUCGCAGGCGUAGGAAAUUUGAGAAGACCUGUCCUUAGUACGAGAGGACCGGGAUGGACGUACCUCUGGUGUACCAGUUGUCCUGCCAAGGGCAUGGCUGGGUAGCUAUGUACGGAAUGGAUAAGCGCUGAAAGCAUCUAAGCGCGAAGCCAACUUCAAGAUAAGAUUUCCCACCGCAAGGGUAAGACCCCAGAAAGACUAUCUGGUUGAUAGGUCGAAGGUGUAAGUGCAGCAAUGUAUUUAGCUUAUCGAUACUAAUAGGUCGAGGACUUGACCAAU
rnacentral:rRNA from 1 species